UACGUAGGGUCCAAGCGUUAUCCGGAAUCACUGGGCGUAAAGCGUGCGUAGGUGGAUGCUUAAGUGAGUUGUUAAAUCGUGUGGCUCAACCAUAUCGAUGCAAUUCAUACUGGGCGUCUAGAGGACAGCAGAGGCAAGUGGAAUUACGAGUGUAGCGGUAAAAUGCGUAGAUAUUCGUAGGAACACCAAUGGCGAAGGCAGCUUGCUGGGCAACUCCUGACACU
rnacentral:rRNA from 1 species